GUGGAUUAGAUACCCUGGUAGUCCACACCGUAAACGUUGGGCGCUAGGUGUGGGAUCCAUUCCACGGGUUCCGUGCCGUAGCUAACGCAUUAAGCGCCCCGCCUGGGGAGUACGGCCGCAAGGCUAAAACUCAAAGGAAUUGACGGGGGCCCGCACAAGCGGCGGAGCAUGCGGAUUAAUUCGAUGCAACGCGAAGAACCUUACCUGGGUUUGACAUAUAGGGAAAUCCUCCAGAGAUGGGGGGUCCGUAAGGGUCCUAUACAGGUGGUGCACGGCUGUCGCCAGCU
rnacentral:rRNA from 1 species